rnacentral:rRNA from 1 species
UCCGUAGGGGGCAAGCGUUGUCCGGAUUUCCUGGGCGUAAAGCGCGUGUAGGCGGCUACGCAGGUCCGUUGUGAAAACUGGAGGCUCAACCUCCAGACGUCGACGGAAACCGUGUGGCUAGAGUCCGGAAGAGGAGAGUGGAACUCCUGGUGUAGCGGUGAAAUGCGCAGAUAUCAGGAAGAACACCAAUGGCGAAGGCAGCUCUCUGGGACGGUACUGACGCUGAGACGCGAAAGCGUGGGGAGCGAACAGG